rnacentral:rRNA from 1 species
UAGGGAAUCUUCCACAAUGGACGCAAGUCUGAUGGAGCAACGCCGCGUGAGUGAAGAAGGCUUUCGGGUCGUAAAACUCUGUUAUUGAAGAAGAACGUGUGUGACAGUAACUGGUCAUGCAGUGACGGUAUUCAAUCAGAAAGUCACGGCUAACUACGUGCCAGCAGCCGCGGUAAUACGUAGGUGGCAAGCGUUGUCCGGAUUUAUUGGGCGUAAAGCGAGUGCAGGCGGUCUUUUAAGUCUGAUGUGAAAGCCUUCGGCUUAACCGAAGAAGGGCAUCGGAAACUGGGAGACUUGAGUGCAGAAGAGGAGAGUGGAACUCCAUGUGUAGCGGUGAAAUGCGUAGAUAUAUGGAAGAACANCCAGUGGCGAAGGCGGCUCUCUGGUCUGUAACUGACGCUGAGGCUCGAAAGGCGUGGGUAGCAAACAGGAUUAGAUACCCUGGUA